CCUACGGGAGGCAGCAGUGGGGAAUUUUGGACAAUGGGCGCAAGCCUGAUCCAGCCAUGCCGCGUGAGUGAAGAAGGCCUUCGGGUUGUAAAGCUCUUUCAGACGGAAAGAAAUCUCUUGGGUUAAUACCCUGGGAGGAUGACGGUACCGUAAGAAGAAGCACCGGCUAACUACGUGCCAGCAGCCGCGGUAAUACGGAGGGAGCGAGCGUUGUUCGGAAUCACUGGGCGUAAAGCGUGCGCAGGCGGAUCGACAAGUCAGGAGUGAAAGCCCAGAGCUUAACUUUGGAAUUGCUUUUGAAACUGUCGGUCUGGAGUCUCGGAGAGGUUGGCGGAAUUCCCAGUGUAGAGGUGAAAUUCGUAGAUAUUGGGAGGAACACCAGUGGCGUAAGCGGCCAACUAGACGAGUACUGACGCUCAUGCACGAAAGCGUGGGGAUCAAACAGGAUUAGAUACCCUGGUAGUCCACGCCGUAAACGAUGUGUGCUAGUUGCCGGGCAGUUUACUGUUCGGUGACGCAGCUAACGCACUAAGCACACCGCCUGGGAAGUACGGUCGCAAGAUUAAAACUCAAAUGAAUUGACGG
rnacentral:rRNA from 1 species